CACGUAGGGCGCAAGCGUUGUCCGGAAUUAUUGGGCGUAAAGAGCUUGUAGGCGGUUUGUCGCGUCUGCUGUGUAAUUUCGGGGCUCAACCCCGAACUUGCAGUGGGUACGGGCAGACUAGAGUGUGGUAGGGGAGACUGGAAUUCCUGGUGUAGCGGUGAAAUGCGCAGAUAUCAGGAGGAACACCGAUGGCGAAGGCAGGUCUCUGGGCCGCUACUGACGCUGAGAAGCGAAAGCAUGGGGAGCGAACAGG
rnacentral:rRNA from 1 species